rnacentral:lncRNA from 1 species
GUUCUGUACGUGAUCAGGGAAGGCUCUAGAGAGCCAAACCCUAGUUCAUCAUAUAUCAACCAAUUGAAGCAUGAAUCGAGGCUCAAAUUCAAGAAGGAACAUGAAUUAACGAUCACCCAAGCUAGGGGAUCAUAAGGAAUCAUGUCAAGAUGGAUGGGAGCUUUGAAGGCUAACGGGCUAAGAGGACUCAAUCAAGUAAGCGAACGAGAAUACGGACGCGCAAGGCUAUACAUGUUUGGAUGUUUCAUCUAGAAGUGUACGCGGUUGGAGAUCGAGUCAAGACACGGAUUGUAUGUGGGUGUGUAUGUAGUCACAUAAUUGAGACAUGUAUGUUAGUUUUUGGAUUAAUU